rnacentral:rRNA from 1 species
AGAUUAAGUUAUUAAGGGCGCACGGUGGAUGCCUUGGCACUAGAAGCCGAUGAAGGACGUUACUAACGACGAUAUGCUUUGGGGAGCUGUAAGUAAGCUUUGA